AGAAAGGUUGACCAAAACUGUUGGCACAAAUUGAUCAUCAUCGGGAGGUCGACUAAUAAUCACAUUGAGCUACUGGAGAAAUACAAAGAUAUUGAUAGAUUACAAUACAAAUGGUCUUUAAAGUCCAGUUGGAAGCUCCUCCCUGUAAUUGAUGAAGGCAAGAUUUACUACUUCCAGGGAGUAAGAGAUCAAAGUACAGCAGCAUUUAAAGAAGUGGCAAUAAUUAGCCAUCCCCGUGCUGGUGAAUACGCAUUUGGAUUUAUAACAUCGAGCAUGAUUCUCCAGGUACUUGUUUAUGCACAUCGCUUUCUACAGAUAUUUAUGGCAUC